rnacentral:rRNA from 1 species
GACGAACGCUGGCGGCGUGCUUAAUACAUGCAAGUCGAGCGGACGAAUCGAACGCUUGCUUUAGAUUCGUUAGCGGCGGACGGGUGAGUCACACGUGGUCAACCUGCCAUGUCGACGGGGAUCACACCGAGAAAUCGUUGCUAAUACCGGAUAACACGAAAUGUCGCAUGACGUUUAGUUGAAUGAGGGCGCAAGCUGCCUCUCCGGGAUGGGCCCGCGUCGCGUUGGCUAGGUGGUGCGGCAACGACUCACCAAGGCGACGAUACGUAGCCGACCGGAGAGGGUGAUAGGCGACAUUGGGACUGAGACGGGGACCAGACGCCUACGAGAGGCAGCAGUAGGGAAUCGGACGCAACAGUCGAAAGUCUGGCGGAGCAACGGCGCGUGUGCUGAAAAGGCCUUCGGGUCGUAAAGACGUGUUGUGAGGUAAGAACAAGUAUCGCAGUAACUGGCGUUUCCUUGACGGUACCUAACGAGAGAGCCACGGCUAACUACGUU